rnacentral:misc_RNA from 1 species
UUUCCGUAGGUGAACCUGCGGAAGGAUCAUUAACACGAAUUAUUUAUUAUCCAAUAUCAAAAACCAAACGUGAACCUUUUCCCUCCCUAUAUAUAUAUAUAUAGGCUAACCUCAUUUAAUUAAUUUUUAACACUUUAAACCUUAACUAGUUUUAAUGUAGCCAUUAAAACAUCUAAACUAAAAAAGACAAGGUUAUUCGAAAGAGUAAACUUUAACUUUUUUCGAUUUACGAAAAAUUUAAAAGAACAACUCUUAACAAUGGAUAUCUUGGUUCUC